rnacentral:tRNA from 1 species
GCCCUGGUAGCUUAAUGGAUAGAGCACGACGUUGCGGACGUUGAGGUUGUGGGUUCGAGUCCCGCCCAGGGCG